GACUGCGCCACUGCCGUGACAGCUGAGGAACGACGGUCCCUUCUACCUGGCCCAUUUAUUUCAUGCCUCCCUCAGCGUUUUCCCCGACGGAGGCUCCCACAGGCUCGCCGCGGUGGCAGACACCCGCAUGAUUCACCAGGGACUGUUUGCCUUGGCCCGGAGGUCCUCCGCGCGGGGAAUGGGAUUUCCAUUCCCCGACGUUUCCCUUGGUCCGCUUCCCUGGAAGGGAGCGCGGGCCCGGCCCGGGGAGCACGGCGCUGGCCGGGGAGGGAUGCCGCCUGCCUGGCGCUGAGCCGCCAGACCAAAACCACGGCGCUGUCCUCUAGCGGAGACCCCACGGCCCUUUCCCGCGGGGAGAGCCCGCUCGGCCGGGGCAGGCACUCCUCCUCGGGGCUCCAGGAGCUGCCCUCGCCGCCCCCUCACAGCGCAGGGCCAGGUCUGACAGGGAGGAACCGGUGGCGGGGCCGAGGUGCGCGGCGGGCGCGGGGCGGCGGGGCCGAGACGGGGCCGCUGCAGCCGGGAGCCCGGCGGGGCGGGAGGGAGCGGGACGGGCAGCCCGCGUCCCUGACGGGAAGGACCGGGUCCCGCGUCCCUCGGUGGACAGGCGGGACGGCGCGGGGCCGACGUCCCGUGUCCCGUCAGGGCCGUCGAUCGCGUUUCUCCCCGCACGGCAGGCGGGAGGGAGCCGGAGGACAGCCCGCGUCCCUCACGCGGGGCAGGCGGGGAGGAGCGGGACCGCGUCGCUCACACGGGGCGAGCGGCAGGCAGCGGGGCGACAGCCCGAGUCCCUCACGGGGCAGGCGGGAAGGAGCGGGACCGCGUCCCUGGCGGCGGAGGCGGCCGAGGAAAGAGGGGCCCGGCCACCCGCGGCUGCCUCCCGGGGCCGCGCGGUCUUCUGGGAACUUCGUGGAAACUCUUAUGUCUAGAUCAGAUUUGGAACCAGAAAGUGCAAAUGAGUAUUCCCCAAAAGAUCAAGAUAAUGAAAAGGUCUAUUGUCCAAGUGGCAACUGAAGAAAAUCAUAAUGUGGAGAUUGAUGCUGUCAUAAAAUAAGAAUUCCCGCUGCUAAAGCUUGCUGUCUGACCACUGGAAACUAUGCAGAGUAAACCAUACUGUGGGUGCACUGUUCUACAGCAUCACCCUUAACUUUUACAUGGUGAGUUUCUGAAAUUACUGAAAAGGUCAUCCAGUUCUGAGCAGGGGUUAGACCCGAUGACCUACACAGGUCCUUUCUGACCUAAAUUAUUCUAUAAUUCUAUGGUUUAGUAGUUAUUAGUUGUACAACAGUGAUAUCAGG
rnacentral:lncRNA from 1 species